UUAAUUUUUCCAUUUUUUUAUUUUAGAUCAUUCAUGAAUCGCUUAAUAACUCUGUUUAGUUAUAUUAUCAAAGUUAGACCUUUUGUUUUCUGGGUAAAACUACCUGUAAUGUGGAUCAAAACAGAAGUGAACAAAACAAAGUUUUUGGAAGGGUAUUGCGAAAAAAAAUAAAAUAAAAAAAUAUAUAUAUAAAAAAAAAAUUGAACCUAGCUGAGCUGGAAAGUAGACUUCCUUGUUCCUCUGUGAGCACUUUAUGGAGUGAAAAUGCACAAUAGGAAAUUAGCAAACUAUGGGUUUAAAUGAUCCUUCCUAGAGAGAAAAGCAUUAAAGCAUUGUGCUGCCAUAGGUACUGUGAAAGGAUCACAUCUGCACAGAGUGUUGUGUUUUUUUUUUUCUGCAAAAGGAGUUCUGGCAGUUUCCUAGGCCCACCAAAAAUAAUUUUCUCAGUUCUUUCAGCAAGGCUAGUCAUUGCUGUCUCCUGUGACCUGCACAAUAGCCCUUUUUUUUUUUUUUUUUAAAAAAAAAAAAGGAUAAAAUACUUUUAAGUCAACUACAUGUACAUCAAGCACCAGAAGGCAAGGCGCUUCUAAGUCCCUCUGUUUCUUGCAAACCCAACAUGUACUGAGAUGAAAAUUCUUUGUUAGCUGUAUAGAUCUCAUCAGGGAGAAAUGGAAAUACCAAGUAUGAAGUCUAGGAAAGAAGCCAAAGGUCUCACAGAAGUGAUUCUAUCUUGUGUUUAAAGAGGUGCUAUCAAAUAUCAUAGUAAAUAAGAAUAGGAACAUCAAUUCUAUGUGCAUGUCAAAUAAUCUUGGUCUUUUUUAGAAGUCACCUGUGGGAGUGAGCCCAGAUUUCUCUGAUGCACAUUUUGCUGUGUACCAGAGAUACUAAUUAUGACAAAGAUUUUGUGUGGUUUUUAACCAUUAUUGUUUGUUAUUUUAAAGAUACGCACUUUUAAAGCAUUUCUGAUACCUCCAGUAAUCCCAGAGUAUGUGUUGAGAAGAAAAAAAAAUAAAAAAAUAAAAAAAAAUUAAAAAGCAUUCAUGAAAUCUGAAGCAGAGCUAAGCUUCUAUGCAAAAACUGAUGAACAGAAUUACAGAAUUUUACUUUAUUUCUGGGUUCCUGGUAAUAUUCAUCUUAAAGUAGCUAGACAGAUGGAAUACUACAGAGUGAAGGGUUAUUAACAUUUUUGAGGAGCAGCUGUUGAACAUGUUCAAGAUUGUUGGUUUGGUAGGUGAGAGUCAUAUCAAGCUACUGGGGAACUACAGCCUAUAUUGAAACACUGCCAGGGAGCAGAUAGCUAGGUCUUAGGAGGGAUCAGAAAAGCUUCUUAAGGACUAGAGGUGUCUGAGCCGGGUUUAUUGCUGUUCUGAAAGGUACUGGAUCAGAUCAAAUCAGUCUAUGAGCAAUAAGACAAUGAGAAAUACAUACCUGCCAGAAAAAGAGUUCUGAAUAAAUUGUUAUUUCUGCUCUGCAUUACCUAGUUAAGAUUGUUCUAUUUUAGAAGAUAAUUAUUCUAUUUUAUCUACUGCUGUACCGGUUUAUCUGAGUUUGAAGUGCCUUCAGUUAGAUCUAGGAGUCUAAGGAUAUCUGCCUCACACCUUUGUUUCAGGAGCAUGUCUGUGUUUAUCUAGUCCUACUGAAAUCAGUGGGUCUACUUUGAAGUAAACAGGGCACAAUCUUGGAAACCUGAAGUCUACUGACAGCCCUGGAGCAGUCAGUAGUAGUAAAACAUCUGGUUCUUUCAGAGAAUCACACUCAACCACACUUUGGAAGCCAAAAGUGUCUGCAUUAGCUAUAAUUCCUCUUCUUCAACUCCUCUUCAGCUGAACAAAGCUCUGUGAAGUUAUAUGGCUACAGUUUGCAGUGAGGCUUUUGAAUUCACUCCAUUAACCAAUGGAGGCACGUAAGACUUGAAAUGAAAUUUGUCCAUAAGAUUAGAGAGAACUAGUGUCAAAACCAUUCUAUGGGAAUACACAUGGAGUAUUUAGAGAAAAACAAGUUGCUUUACCCUUCAGAAGAACCAGUUCAAUACCUACUGUUUUUGUCAAGUAAAGUAAGUCAGUUCAAGCAAAAGCCACGGUGAAGAAGUCAUGUCAGAAACAGUAGUGAAGGCUAAGUAAGAGCUUUUCAUGAUAGAUAGGAUUGGUCCAAAAAUUACAGGAGGCAGGCUUGCAAGCCUUUUAAAUAUGGGUAUCGUUGGAUAUAAUCAGACAGUAGCACGGGCACAGGUGUAGUCAAUACUACUUAAGCAUUUGUAUGUUUUAUUUUCACUUAAAAAUGGUUAUUCAGCCUGUUAACAAUAUGGUGCAUUAUAUAUGCUGAGAUAAAUCAGUGUCUCUCAUACAAAAGUGGUCUUACAACAGCUAAGAGAUAUUAAGGGACAUACCUUUUUUUAGCAUCCAGACUAAAACUUGUAAUUGCCAGAAUGAUCGUAAAUAACUCAUCUUAUAGCUACUUCUUUUUUAUUUAGAAUUUUAAAAGUCAAAACACAUUUUGCAGUUUCUUUUUGUUUUAGAAUCUAUUUCAGUUUCAUGAUGAGCUGACAAAAUUCAAAAUUAGCUGUAAAUUGUUUGACAAUUUUACACUUAUUUUUCUGUAUUCUCCUUGCUUUCAGUGUGUGGGAAGAACAAUAAGAAACCUGUCAAUUGGAGUUCUUUGAAUAAAACAAGAAAAUUUGAGCUGAUCACAGGGAUCAUUAAGGAAUACAUGCCUUUCAGGCUGCAUCCAUUUAUUGUUCUUUUGCCUGCAAAAUUCAGCUGACAUCAUCCGUGAUGCUCAACAUCAAAAUAAAUUCUAAACAUUAGUAUGAAGAGGUGUAUCUAGCAUCACAGUCAAGCCAUGGAGUCAGUGGUUUUUGCUAGGUCUGUGUUAAAAUACAUACACGGAAAUUAGAGUACAAGUCGUCAUAUGAACUGUGCAAAAUUCUGCAACAGAUUAGAUCCCAAAGCCAAGACGCCAUCAGCUACAGUUAGAAACGAAGGCUACUACUACUCUGUCUGAAAAGAUUUCUGACUGAGAACUCUGAUUGAAAUCUUGGAUCUGUUGUAGUGGAUGCCAAAAACUGUGAUCCACUUCUGCACUGUAUCUCAUGGUAUUGGUAAAGUUUAGAAUUUAUUUCACACAAAAAAAUUAAAUAUACUAUGCAUGAUAGUAUUUUAAUUUUUGAUACAGUUUUAGAUUUGCAAGCUCUACAUGACUUUGCACAGUAGUUAAAUUACUCUUACAUAAGCAGAUUGUAGUCUGUCAAUUCAAAAUUUUUCUUCGUUUAGGGAUGCUUUUAGACUAUAGAUAAGACCUACCAUCAAUGUUGAAAGCUGCCAUAGGAACUCACAAAAGUAAAUACAUUCAGAAAGACAUUAUAAAAACAAACAACUCUUCCUCCCUCUGCAGCUGGGUUUAUGUACAUGGAGGGGAGUGAGGAAGAUUGGCUAAUCAUCACUUCUUAAGAGGUGGUAAAUGAGAAAUUCUGUGUAUGUGCGGGUACCUAUGUGCAUAUGGCACACGUACAUCUAUAUGAUGUCACAAAACAUGCAAGGACACAGCCAACUAUAAAAAAGAGAGAGCCUGUAUGGCCCAACAAGUUCAUGCACAACAAUUUUGUAAUAUUCUUCAAUUUUUCUCAUUAUGUCUGUGCUCCUAUUUGCACUUCAUUUCAGAGCUCAUCUGCUGGAACUUGAGGAGCAAGCAGAAGUGUGGUAUGACUCACCAAGUGACAUUUUGUAAACACUCCUACUCAGAGAAGGGUUAAACCCUUGAAAAGCAUACAUGAAAAGAGAAGCAUUCAAGUUACUCAGUAUUGUGUUUUUAGAGUGGCUUUUUUUUGUUUGGUGGUUUGGUUUUUUUUUUGGUUGGUUGUUUGUUGUUGUUGUUUACUUACAGUCUUGAGAGAUCCUGCUACUCUGUACCAUGCUGCAUAUCUUAAUCUUUUUCAACAAAGAAAUUAAUAUUUGUUAAUAUGUGACUGAUGGAAGUAAAUUUUUUUGUCCAAGCUUCUUAUAAGAAGUUCUAAAGUGAUGGAAAAACUCUGAGCUGCAACUCCUGAAAUGAACACUUCAUAUUUUUAUCUUCAUUUAGUUAUUGCUUUUAUGAGUGCUAUCUUGUUCUAGAUACCGCUCUCUAAAACUGAGGGUGUAAACAUUUGCCCUGGUUGCUUGAACUCCACAGAUGGUGAACACUUGGUUUAGUACUGGUGUCAUGGAUGGAUAAAGGCCACUGUCUUAGAAAUUUCCUUGGCCAGCCUUACAGCUUUAGACAAAUGAAUCUAAGAAAAUAACCUAUAAUUCAAAAAAUAUAUAUAUGUCUGAACAGCUUUAUCUAAUACAGGCAUUACUGUAUGGUGGGUAUUGACAAUGUAGUGAGUAAUGUAGAAGGGAGAGGAGACCGGUUUCAAUGUUUUGGGGGCAGACAGCAAGCAAAGAAAAUCCAGCACAUAAUUUUCCUUUUCACAUCUGUAUCACUAGUGCAUUUUUGCACAAGGGCUGAAUUGCCUUCAUACACUGAGUUUUAGAAUAAUAGAAUUGCUUAGUAAAAAUGGACAUAGGAAUGUAACUUGCAGCAUCAGUUUGGAGAUUUUGACAUCAGCUUUUAUCAAUCAAAAUAGAGGUAUUUUUACCCAUUUGUACAAGCGUAUGGGUUUAAUUUGAAUGUUAAUUACUAAACUCUGCUAUUUAUUAACAAAAUGAAUUUAUUCACUCAUCUUUGAGUCUCUUUAUCUGUGUCUUGACUGUUGAAGCAAGGCCAGUACUUUGGUGUCAUGAGUAACCGUGCAGCACUCCACAAAUCUUGUGUUAAUAUGAUAGAGGACAAAACCUGUUCUAGGGUCACCUGUCUACUUCAUGUGAAUUGGGUGGAAACUGUAUGCUUUAGGAGUGACAUUUUAAUAUUUGGUGGAAGGUGAACAUUUCUGAAGACCAGCUGAAAGCUGUGCUUAAGACUUUCAUUUUGUUCCAAGACUUUCAUUUUGUUCCACUGUAUUGAUAUUUAUUUCUCAAGCGUUGCUCCACAGCCCAAGAUAAUUAUGUAGUUUAAUGUUUCAUCAUUCUAGUAGAUGAAAUACUUGUUUAACAGUUAAUCCACAUGGCUUCUUCUAGCAUUUCUUGGGCUAUGAAAACAACAAACCUAAUUUGAAGCACACUAGAUGGAAGUGGUAUUAAAAGUUGAGUUUUUUUUGAAUGUAUUCAACCUUGUUUUUCUCAUAUUUUUCACAGUGGUGAAGAAUAUGGCUUAGCAGUAGCCAAAUGUAUCUGCUAUUUAGUGCUUGCCAGCACUCCAUGUUGAAAAAGACCAGUUUUUUAAAUGGUUUAAUCAGUUUGCUUAAAAAAAAAAUAAAAAAUUGUUUUCAGCCACUCUUUGCCAGAGUGAUGAUUUACACCUAUGACAGAAUUCUGGAACCAGACAGAAUACUCAAGUUUUUCUCUACAAAGCCGAGAUACUUCAUAUUGUGAAUUAGUACCUAGAAUGGCUGCAUGCCUUCUACCAAUGUUGUAAGAAUCAUAACGUUAUAUUUUAUUUAAGAAUUUGGCUUGAUGAAAUCAGCUAUCAUUUGCCAAGCACAACGUAUUUAAUUAUUUAAGAAUUCCGUUUCACUUGCUCUCUGGAUGCACCCUGAAUAUCUUUCCUUGUGUUGUCCAUCCUUACUUUUCUCAAGCAUGAAGGAAAUAAUCUCAGUUUGAAGCCAGCAAAGCUCAGCAGGUUUCUUGAGUCUCCAAAGUUGCCUUUUAUUUUAACAAUUCAAAGAUCAAUUUAGUUAUUGUAGCUCAGUCAUGCAGCUUUUCUUCUGGGGAUGCUGAGAGGAUAUCUGGUCUCAGGAAUUUCAGAGUUUCAUACACAUAAUUGAAUUAUCUCCUGGUUUGUGUCAUUCACUAGAGAUAUUGAAUUGUGACUUGGAUUUUGAAAUACAUCAUGAAGAAUAGUUCUGUUUUACCUUUAUGUGUCUAACAGUGAGGUGAAAUUACUGUUAUAUGUGUACUUAAAUGCAUAGAUCUUAAGCCCCUGAUAUGUUAUGCUGUAUGACCAGCUCUUUCACAUUUUGUGAUCGCUUUUCAUUAUAUUUUAAUUUGAAUAUUUGAAGUUUAAGUAUUUAUUUAAUUUGAUAUUUGAAGUUUCCAUUGGCAAACUAGUUAUCUCUAAAAAUGUUAUUUCUUUUUACAGUCAUCCACUUGAUUACUGAUUUUUCUAAAUAAGUAAUUUGUUUAAAGUUACUAUAUGGAAAGAUUUUUUUUAAGCUGUAGAUUUCAAACAUUGGUUAUUGAAAUCAGAUUAUAUCUGAUAAAUAAGAUUUGAAUUUUAAGCUGUUUGAUUAUGUGUGGUUUUGUUUUAUUUGUUUGUUUUUACUGUUUUAACUGCAAAUUUUAACAGUAGGUUUUGGCUACUUUUGUAUACUCGGUAGGUCCAGUAAUGCCAAACAGUUCUUUCAAACCAUUUGGAACAAGUGUUGGGUAUCUCUUCGUAUGCUCAAAAUCCUUUUCUGAAAUGCUUAUUCAUAGGGAUGGUCUUGUUGACCUCAGCAAGAUUAUUUGUGUAAUUUUUAGUUGAUCUCAGCAAGGAUUAUGGAACUGGACCCCCAGUGAUCUCUCACAAGUGGCAAAAGCUGGGUUGUGUUCCAAGUCUUCUAUAAGGGCUUUACAAGAUAUUUUCAGAUUGUGGAUUUAAAUGCCAAAAUGGCAUUUUAAUCUGAUGGUUUAAAACAUUUUUGAAUGAUUAGAGUUAAAGAUGUCUGCGUAUUCCAAGCACAGGAAAAAAAAUUAUCUUCAGUAACAAUGUGAUAUUUGUGAGUAAAUAUUGUUUUUUUGUUUGUUUGUUUGUUUUAAGUAGUACUUGCUGCAUGUAGUAUCCUACUGUCCUCUCUUUUAAAUAAAUUUUAAAUCCCAAACGUAUUUGCCCUGCAGCUAUUCCAGAGCCUGUCAGCUCUGUCAAAAGUGAAACCACUAGUGCUGAAGUACUUUGACGUAUUUCAGAAAUUGAUGGAAAGCUUGCAGCUGAUGGGCAAUAUAGAAAAAAUUGUGCAUCUGAUUAACGAAGGCUGGACACCAAGAUGUUUUUCAUGCAUCUUUAAUUCAAAAACAAUUUGCAGAUACUAAAAAAGCACUCUUUUGAGGAUAUUCCUUUAUGCUUUUAAGGAAUGGUGCUGAAGCCAGCCACGUACUGUGUUUUGUUUCAGUGCUAAAUCAUCCCUGUCCUGUUCUCGUGUUCCCAAACAUUGUUCUUCCUCAGAUUUAUACCAAAUAGCUUAGCAAUCCUUGUGUCCUCUGAUGUUGAAAAGGUUGAUAUACUGACACCUUAUCCAGUAGGCUGACAGGGUGCUUCCAGAGUGCUUGGAAAUUCCAAGAUCAUCCAAACAUUAUUAUCAGUGAGGCAGUGGAGAAGAAGUAUUCAGUCACAAGAGGAAAAAAAUCCACAAUCUACUGAUUGUGGAUCAUGUGCACAUUCAAUACUAGCGUUUCCAUUUAGCUUGCAGUCCUGCCCAUCUGUAUGUUACAGUUUCAAAAUGAUACCCAUCCUUUGAUUUAAAAAAGGAGCAACAUUUAAGGAGAUCAGGCUCACAGAUGCCUUUUUCUUAUUACAGAAAAAAAAAAAAAAAUGUUCUCUAGCCUCAUAUUUAAUUAUAAGUAUAAAA